rnacentral:rRNA from 1 species
UACGAAGGGGGCUAGCGUUGCUCGGAAUCACUGGGCGUAAAGGGUGCGUAGGCGGGUCUUUAAGUCAGGGGUGAAAUCCUGGAGCUCAACUCCAGAACUGCCUUUGAUACUGAGGAUCUUGAGUCCGGGAGAGGUGAGUGGAACUGCGAGUGUAGAGGUGAAAUUCGUAGAUAUUCGCAAGAACACCAGUGGCGAAGGCGGCUCACUGGCCCGGUACUGACGCUGAGGUGCGAAAGCGUGGGAGCAACAGG